rnacentral:lncRNA from 1 species
CAACAUAUGCUUAACUAUUUAUUCAAAUCAAAUAAAAUGUUCUAACCAGUCUAAAUAAUCUAACUAGAACUCAAAAUAUCUUCAGAAGAUCUAAUGCACUCUUCCAAGAUCCAAGCAAUCAUGAAUCUGGAUCUGAAAAAUAAAAAAAGAAGAAAUAAUGAGCUAUACUAGCCCAGUAAGCAACAUAACACUCCAAAGUAGGGUUUAAGUAUGCC